rnacentral:rRNA from 1 species
UUUCCGUAGGUGAACCUGCGGAAGGAUCAUUACCGAGUUUUCGAGCUCCGGCUCGACUCUCCCACCCUUUGUGAACGUACCUCUGUUGCUUUGGCGGCUCCGGCCGCCAAAGGACCUUCAAACUCCAGUCAGUAAACGCAGACGUCUGAUAAACAAGUUAAUAAACUAAAACUUUCAACAACGGAUCUCUUGGUUCUGGCAUCGAUGAAGAACGCAGCGAAAUGCGAUAAGUAAUGUGAAUUGCAGAAUUCAGUGAAUCAUCGAAUCUUUGAACGCACAUUGCGCCCCUUGGUAUUCCGGGGGGCAUGCCUGUUCGAGCGUCAUUACAACCCUCAAGCUCUGCUUGGAAUUGGGCACCGUCCUCACUGCGGACGCGCCUCAAAGACCUCGGCGGUGGCUGUUCAGCCCUCAAGCGUAGUAGAAUACACCUCGCUUUGGAGCGAGUGUGGCGUCGCCCGCCGGACGAACCUUCUGAACUUUCUCAAGGUGACCUCGAUCAGGUAGG